AGAGAUAGAGUUUUCUUCGGACAGAUUACAAGGUGCUGCAUGGUUGUCGUCAGCUCGUGCCGUGAGGUGUCAGGUUAAGUCCUAUAACGAGCGCAACCCCUGUCGUUAGUUGCCAGCAUGUUAUGAUGGGGACUCUAACGAGACUGCCUACGCAAGUAGAGAGGAAGGUGGGGAUGACGUCAAAUCAUCACGGCCCUUACGUCCUGGGCCACACACGUGUUACAAUGGUAUGGACAAUGAGCAGCCAUCUGGCAACAGAGAGCGAAUCUACAAACCAUAUCACAGUUCGGAUCGGAGUCUGCAACUCGACCCCGUGAAGCUGGAAUCGCUAGUAAUCGGAUAUCAGCCAUGAUCCGGUGAAUACGUUCCCGGGCCUUGUACACACCGCC
rnacentral:rRNA from 1 species